GGCCAAGCUAAUAAGGGUAUACGGUGGAUGCCUUGGCGAGUCCUGGCGAUGAAGGACGUGGCAAGCUGCGAUAAGCCCCGGGGAGGUGCAAGCAACCUUUGAUCCGGGGAUUUCCGAAUGGGGUAACCCAUCCAUCUGUAAAGAUGGAUAUCCACCAAUUUGGUGGAGGCGAACCGGGGGAAGUGAACCAUCUCAGUACCCCGAGGAAAAGAAAGAAAAAUCGAUUCCCUGAGUAGCGGCGAGCGAAAGGGGAAAAGCCUAAACCGAAUAAGGGUAAAAGCGUAGGCGCGUUCCUUAUUCGGGGUUGUAGGGUCUGGCAUGGAAAGGCCUACCUUUCCUAAAGGCGCAUCAAAUUCCUCAAAAUAGCCGAAUGACCUGGAAAGGUCAACCAUAGAAGGUAAAAGUCCUGUAGGCGAAAUUUUGGGGAUGCCUGAGCCAGAUACCUGAGUACUACGAAGGAGCCGAGGAACUUCGUAGGAAUCCGGGAGGACCACCUCCCAAGGCUAAAUACAUGGACUCGACCGAUAGUGGACAAGUACCGCGAGGGAAAGGUGAAAAGAACCCCGGAAGGGGAGUGAAAUAGAACCUGAAACCGUAUACCUACAAGCAGUCGGAGUCCGUCUUUUGACGGAUGACGGCGUGCCUAUUGAAGAAUGAGCCAGCGAGUUAAUGGCUGCGGCAAGGUUAAUCCGCUUAAGCGGAGGAGCCGUAGCGAAAGCGAGUGGUCCUAACCGGGCCCAUUAGUCGCAGUCAGUAGACCCGAAGCCGGGCGAUCUAACCAUGGCCAGGGUGAACCUGCCUUAACAGGUGGGGGAGGCCCGAACCGGUGGUUGUUGCAAAAACCUCGGAUGAGCUGUGGUUAGGAGUGAAAGGCUAAUCAAGCUCGGUGAUUGCUGGUUCUCCCCGAAAUGCCUUUAGGGGCAGCCUCACCUUAUAGGAUAGUGGGGGUAGAGCACUGAUAGGACAAGUUCGCCGAUAGGUGAGCAAGUCCUUUCAAACUCCGAAUACCACUAUCUGUUCGGUGGGAGUGAGACGGUGGGGGAUAAGCUCCAUCGUCAAAAGGGGUACAGCCCAGACCAUCGGCUAAGGUCCCUAAAUCUGGUCUAAGUGGUAAAGGAAGUGGAGUUGCAUAGACAACCAGGAGGUUGGCUUAGAAGCAGCCAUCCUUUAAAGAAAGCGUAACAGCUCACUGGUCGAUGUAACUCUGCGCCGACAAUUCAACGGGGCUUAAGACCAGUACCGAAGCCAUGGCUUUCCCUACAAAUUGUAGGGAAGGGGUAGGGGAGCAUUCCCUGACAGCGAAGGCAUUCCGUAAGGAAUGCUGGAGUCAAGGGAAGAGAGAAUGCUGGCAUAAGUAGCGAAAAAGUGGGUGAGAAUCCCACUGGCCGAAAGCCUAAGGUUUCCUGGGGAAGGUUCGUCCUCCCAGGGUUAGGCGGAAGCUAAGCCGAGGCCGAAAGGCGUAGGUGAUGCACAGCCGGUUAAUAUUCCGGCCCCACCUAGUAAGCGUUAUUACUGAAGGGGUGACGGAAAAGGAUAGGUCAGCCGGUGACUGGUAGUACCGGUUCAACCUCAGAGGUCUGCUUGUGGCAAAUCCAUGAGCAAUAAAGACCAAAGAGGGAGUACGAGUCCAACCGCAAGGGCGGACGAAGUGAUCGAGUCCUUUUCCCGAGAAAAACCUCGUAGGGAGUUUAUUAGGUGUCCGUACCGCAAUCCGACACAGGUAGGCUGGGGGAAUACCCUAAGGCCCGCGAGAGAACUCUCGCUAAGGAACUCGGCAAGUUAGCCCCGUAACUUCGGGAGAAGGGGUGCCUGAGUAGGGUGAGGUUUAUCCAUAGCCAAGCCCGAAAAGGCCGCAGUGAAAUGGCUCCCGCGACUGUUUACCAAAAACACAGGGCUCUGCUAACUCGUCAAGAGGAUGUAUAGAGCCUGACAAGUGCCCGGCGCCGGAAGGUUAAGGGGAGAUGUUAUCUACCGAAAGGUAGAGAAGCAUCAAACCUAAGCCCCGGCAAGCGGCGGCCGUAACUAUAAUCUGGACCGUUGUAGUUACGUAAAAAAACCUGGCUGUAUGCGGGAAACUCCGGAGUGCCAGAAGAUACUUACACAAUAGAUGUAAGUAACAAAUCUUCUGGAGUUGGCAAAAAACCAGCCGGACAACCCGCAGGAAACCUUUCCUUUUUCAAAGGGGAUAAAAUAUGAUUGAUUUUAAAAAAAUACCGAGAGAAAAAGGAUAUUAUCUUGCUGGAUUUGCAGAUGGAGAGGGUAGUUUUAUUGUGAGUGUGAGGAAAAGACAGGAUUACAAAAUUGGGUGGAAAAUAUCUGUGUGUUUUAAUGUUUCCCAAAAAGACAGGGUUAUACUAAGCCAAUUUAAAAGGUAUUUACAAUGUGGAAGUUUAAGAAUGAGGGAAGACGGAGUAUGGUACUAUGAGGUCAACAAUUUCCGUUCAAUUGUGGAAAAUGUGAUACCCUUUUUUGAAAAAUUUGGUUUUCUCUCAUCAAAAAAGAAAAAUGAUUUUAGAGUUUUCAAACAGAUUGUGGAGUUAAUAAAAAAUAACGAACAUCUUACACAUAAUGGAAUACAGAAAAUACUCUCUCUUCGUGCAAAACUUAAUAAAAAUUCUAAAAAAGANNNNNNNNNNNNNNNNNNNNNNNNNNNNNNNNNNNNNNNNNNNNNNNNNNNNNNNNNNNNNNNNNNNNNNNNNNNNNNNNNNNNNNNNNNNNNNNNNNNNUAAAAAAGAUGAAAUUCUUAAAAAUAUUGAAAAAGGAAAGGGUUCCUCAGAGACCAUACGCCAGGCAUUUUAGAGUCAUAAAAAAUGCCGCCUGGCUCUAAAAUGAUGAUAUGGUCCAUUCCUUAUGGUAACAUAAGGGAUUAAAGAACGGUCCUAAGGUAGCGAAAUUCCUUGUCGGGUAAGUGGUCGGACUUGCCCGUAAGCCGGCUCAUAACGGUGAAACUCCUUACCGUAUGGGUAUUUACAAGGAGUACCCUAUCCAUUUAUGGAUAAGGUAAGGACAACACCGUGGGAAGUCGCCUCUUAUAAAAGGGGUUGACCCCGUAACGACUCAUUUGCCAGUAUUGGCGAAUGGACUCUCCUUUUAAAUAAAGGAGGGUAAUACGCCGGCCAUCAAUCCACAAGGAGGAAAAAUGCUGGAUCCAAAUUACAUAACUGGAUUUGUUGAUGGAGAGGGUAGUUUCUCAAUAACUAUAUUUCCAAAAAACUUAAAAGAUGAGAAAUGGGAGAUAAGAAUGAGUUUUUCAAUAUCUCAACAUAAGAGAAACAGGGGGAUUUUAUUUAAAAUUAAGGACUACUUUAAAUGUGGAACAAUAAGACCAAACAGAAAGAAUAAUACAUUUAAAUAUGAAGUCAGGGAAAUCUCUGAUUUGAAAAAUAAAAUAAUUCCUCAUUUUAAAAAAUACCCUCUCCAGACAACAAAAAGGAUUGAUUUUCAGAUAUUUACAUCAACGAUUGAGAUAAUGAGUGAAGGAAGACAUUUAACAAAGCAAGGUCUUUCAGAGAUAAUUGAGUUACUUAAAAAAUUACCAGAUGAAAGAAAGAAAAAAUAUAAACUUGAGAAUUUUAUUGUGGAUUGAUGAAGGUAUAGUCUAAUUGGAGUUCCGACCCGCACGAAUCUUGUAACGACGGGAGCGCUGUCUCGGCGAGAGGCUCGGCGAAAUUGUGAUACUCGUGAAGACGCGAGUUACCUGUGGCAAGACGAAAAGACCCCGGAACCUUUACUGUAUCCUAUCAUUGGAUUUUAAAGUAGUAUGCGUAGGAUAGGUGGGAGGCGAUGAAACCUUGCUUUCGGGCAAGGUGGAGCCGACGGUGAAAUACCACUCUUACUACUUUGAAAUCCUAACCUGAGUUUGUGAAACCAGACCAGGGACAGUGGUAGGUGGGCAGUUUAGCUGGGGCGGCUGCCUCCUAAAAGGUAACGGAGGCGCCCAAAGGUUCCCUCAACCUGGUUGGCAAUCAGGUGUUGAGUGCAAAGGCAUAAGGGAGCCUGACUGCGAGACUGACAGGUCGAGCAGAGGCGAAAGCCGGGCUUAGUGAUCCGGUGGUUCCGAGUGGAAGGGCCAUCGCUCAGCGGAUAAAAGGUACUCCGGGGAUAACAGGCUGAUCCUGCCCAAGAGUCCACAUCGACGGCAGGGUUUGGCACCUCGAUGUCGGCUCAUCGCAUCCUGGGGCUGAAGCAGGUCCCAAGGGUUGGUCUGUUCGCCCAUUAAAGCGGUACGUGAGCUGGGUUCAGAACGUCGUGAGACAGUUCGGUCUCUAUCUGCCACAGGCGCAGGAGACUUGAAGGGGAGCUGGCCCUAGUACGAGAGGACCGGGCUGGGCGGACCUCUGGUGUACCAGUUAUUCCGCCAGGAGUAAUUGCUGGGUAGCCAUGUCCGUAAGCGAUAACCGCUGAAAGCAUCUAAGCGGGAAGCGCGCCCCAAGAUUAGGUCUCCCUCUGCCAGAGCAAUCUGGCAGAUAAGGUCCCAGGUAGACUACCUGGUUGAUAGGCCCAGCGUGUAAGACCCGUAAGGGUUUAAGCGGAUGGGUACUAAUCGACCGAUCGGCUUGGCCAU
rnacentral:rRNA from 1 species